rnacentral:rRNA from 1 species
UACAGAGGGUGCGAGCGUUGUCCGGAAUCACUGGGCGUAAAGGGCGCGUAGGUGGCGGCCCAAGUCCAUGGUGAAAGCUCGAUGCUCAACAUCGAGUCGGCCACGGAUACUGGGUUGCUCGAGCACUGUAGGGGCAGAUGGAAUUCCGGGUGUAGCGGUGGAAUGCGUAGAGAUCCGGAAGAACACCGGUGGCGAAGGCGGCAUCCUGGACCGGCAGUUGACGCUGAGGCGCGAAAGCGUGGGGAGCAAACAGG